CCCCGCAAUGAUCGCGUCGGUGUCCCGAAAGGGGCUUAAAAGGGAACGCGGUGCGGGAGGCGACUCCCCAUUCCGCGGCUGUCCCUGCAACUGUAAGCGGCGAGCGCGAUGCAUAUGCGCGGCGGAGCAAGGGCUUCGCCGCCAGCCACUGGGCCGGACGCUAAAUCCUGCGAGGCCUGGGAAGGCCUUGCAUCGACGCGACGACCCGCGAGCCAGGAGACCUGCCGGCGUCUGGUCGCUCUU
rnacentral:ncRNA from 2 species